UGUGGCUCAUCCAAGAGCCACCCAGGCACCCCCUAGCGUGAAUUCUGAUAGCAAGUCUCACUCUAUUAUUUUCCCACUUUUUCUCAGGAUAAAGGACAGGGAUGUAGGCAUUCCUGAAUGAUUGCUGGCUCCCAGGAGGGGCUUCCCCAGGUUUUCUGCCUCCUCUCCCGCUGGAGGGUCCUCUCCUUUCCUUUGGGAAGUGCAGGCGUACAUUCAGAGAUGUCGGCUCUGUUAGUAACAGGAAGGACAACUUCUGCCAAUAGGAAGGUAAAACAGAGAGACAGACAUUCAGCUGCUUAGAGGCCAGGAAGGUUUCAGGAAAUGAUAGGCCAGAUGGCCAGACUUAACCACAAAUUAAAAACAAGGACAAAAAUAGCAGAAGAUGACGUUCGGUUCCCAACAUAAACAAACAAACAAACAGAAACAUACAGUGGCCAUUUGAUGCCCCAGGAAUCGAAAGAAAUACUCAGAAUUCAAAGCUUUCGAUCCAACCCAAGUGGGAGGGUAUGUGGGGGCAGCGGGGAGACAGGGAGGCCGGGAGGACAAUGUCAAAGGAGGCACCCACAGGAGGAAGGCAGCGUGAGUCUGUCACAGGAGACACCUGAGAGGGGCACCGACCUUCUGCACAGCAGGGACUGAGCCCUUGCGGGCAAUCGGUGGGCGUCGGUCAGUAAUGAUGUGCGCUGCCUGGUGUCUGGAACCCAGCAGGUGCCCGGGAACGUUUGUUCGAUAAAUCCCACAAGGCAAUUAAUGAAUUGCAUAGUGCAAGAACAAAUAAACACGCAGAUAAGAGGGGUGGCGAUGGAACGCACCGAGAGGGUGUCAGGCGCGGGGCCAUCGCAACAGAAGGCUUCGCUGGUCCUGGCCAAAGAAGGAUCCCAGAGCCUCGCAGCCUUCAAGUAUAUUUGAGGAGAAAAUGGAACAUUCCACUGCCUUUCGCUAACCAUCUCACAGGAAUCCCGACCAAAGCAGAUGUAGCGGGCAAGGCACCGAAAAAGUUGUCGUGAGUGUGGUGCGAAAUAUCACACGUCCCGUCUCAAGGGUUAAAGGAUAGCAACGUGCGGAGCCGGCAGGAGAUCCGAUCACGAACAAGCUGACGUUGGCGGAGGCAAUGAAGGAAGAAAUGUUCUUCCAGACACAUCGGUAUUUCAGGUGACAUUCUUCAGGACGGUCCUAGAAAAGAACUCCAUGGGAGCCAGCCCUGCCUUCCGGAACCGGCCAAGGACAAAGUUGAAGACGUGAAAACGAAACAAGCAGAGGCAGCAGAAAAUCGGGCCCGGCUUCAGUUUGGAAUAUGAAACAGCUGGCUUUGUCAAGACCAGAUUUACCGCGUGGUUCUGAACAGAGUCCGGGAAGAGGUUUUUAACCCGGUGGGCAAUCCUGUGCGGGACCUUGAGCAGAAACGGUCUUUCUCCAAUGAUCGGUCUUUGACUUCACCCAUCACUGAGAUCGAGUUGUGCGCGUGAGUGCGUAUUUCUUGGUGAGCGUGUAGGUCAGUGCCACGGGUGUUUGCCCGGCAGAUGCCGGGCACUCUGAUUGACAGUUGUGUCACUGAGAGAAGGUGGGAGGGGCCACUACUGUGUAUUAAAUCCCUUCUGCGGUGGUAAAUACUCACAUAUUAUCUAUGUUAUCGUUUAACAGUAA